UGGGGAAUAUUGCACAAUGGACGGAAGUCUGAUGCAGCAACGCCGCGUGCGGGAUGACGGCCUUCGGGUUGUAAACCGCUUUUUCUCAUGACGAAGUUUUUUGACGGUAGUGGGGGAAGAAGCACCGGCUAACCACGUGCCAGCAGCCGCGGUGAUACGUAGGGUGCGAGCGUUGUCCGGAAUUAUUGGGCGUAAAGAGCUUGUAGGCGGUUUGUCGCGUCGAUAGUGCAAACUCAGUGCUUAACGCUGAGCCUGCUGUUGAUACGGGCAGACUAGAGGAAGGUAGGGGAGAAUGGAAUUCCCGGUGGAGCGGUGGAAUGCGCAGAUAUCGGGAGGAACACCGGUGGCGAAGGCGGUUCUCUGGGCCUUUCCUGACGCUGAGAAGCGAAAGCGUGGGGAGCGAACAGG
rnacentral:rRNA from 1 species